rnacentral:siRNA from 1 species
UAUAAGCCUACCUGCGGUAUACUG